AUCCAGCCGAAGAGUCCCAAAUAGGACAAAGUGACGCGCAUCAAACUGGAU
rfam:Schistosoma mansoni, Puerto Rico, WGS project CABG01000000 data, contig: 0242